rnacentral:tRNA from 1 species
AAGGGCUUAGCUUAAUUAAAGUGUUUGAUUUGCGUUCAAUUGAUGUGAGGUAGUGUCUCGCAGUCCUUA